CCAGGGCUGUGCUGACAACAACGGACCCAUUGACCUGAUGGAGGAGGUGAGGGACAUCGAGGCUCACCUGAAGGAGGAGGCCUGGAAGGUGGUACAUGAGGUGAAGGCCAUGGGCAGGAGAAGUUUUGGCUCGGCCAUGUCCAUGGGGGAAAUAGCCACCAGCUCUCUGGGAAGCCUGAGCUCAGUGGAUAUGAACACCCCUGCGGAGCUCCGUGACUACUUGGAUGUUGGGACCCCGGUAAAGUCGCGUGACAGCCCACCCAGGCCUGCUCCCCCCCCCUACCAAGCCCAGGAGCAAACUGCCUCAGCCUACAAGGUUCCUUAGCCUGCAAAAGGCUGACACCGGCUCAGUUCACAGAGAGAUAGAUGUCUGCUGUCAACCCAUAGACAAGAAGGCAGCCAGUGAGCCAAAGGGCCAAAUAAAGAAAAGUCAGGACCAGGCCAGAUUGCAGCCCCUGUCCAACCCAGA
rnacentral:lncRNA from 1 species